rnacentral:rRNA from 1 species
UACGUAGGCAGCGAGCGUUGUUCGGAAUUACUGGGCGUAAAGGGCGCGUAGGCGGUUGGAUAAGUCAGCUGUGAAAACCACGGGCUUAACUCGUGGCCUGCAGUUGAGACUGUCUGGCUUGAGUGUGGGAGAGGAGAGUGGAAUUCCUGGUGUAGCGGUGAAAUGCGUAGAUAUCAGGAGGAACACCGGUGGCGAAGGCGGCUCUCUGGACCACAACUGACGCUGAGGCGCGAAAGCUAGGGGAGCAAACAGG